rnacentral:rRNA from 2 species
GCGAAAAAUCCUAGAAUUUUAGAACAGGAGAGUAUAUUCUGGUAGUGGAAGUACGAA